CGUGCGGUNACCGAAGUCACCCAAUAGCUUGCUCUCGCGGUGACGAGUGGCGGACGGGUGAGUAAUGUCUGGGAAACUGCCUGAUGGAGGGGGAUAACUACUGGAAACGGUAGCUAAUACCGCAUAACGUCGCAAGACCAAAGAGGGGGACCUUCGGGCCUCUUGCCAUCAGAUGUGCCCAGAUGGGAUUAGCUAGUAGGUGGGGUAACGGCUCACCUAGGCGACGAUCCCUAGCUGGUCUGAGAGGAUGACCAGCCACACUGGAACUGAGACACGGUCCAGACUCCUACGGGAGGCAGCAGUGGGGAAUAUUGCACAAUGGGCGCAAGCCUGAUGCAGCCAUGCCGCGUGUAUGAAGAAGGCCUUCGGGUUGUAAAGUACUUUCAGCGGGGAGGAAGGCGUUGAGGUUAAUAACCUUGUCGAUUGACGUUACCCGCAGAAGAAGCACCGGCUAACUCCGUGCCAGCAGCCGCGGUAAUACGGAGGGUGCAAGCGUUAAUCGGAAUUACUGGGCGUAAAGCGCACGCAGGCGGUCUGUCAAGUCGGAUGUGAAAUCCCCGGGCUCAACCUGGGAACUGCAUUCGAAACUGGCAGGCUGGAGUCUUGUAGAGGGGGGUAGAAUUCCAGGUGUAGCGGUGAAAUGCGUAGAGAUCUGGAGGAAUACCGGUGGCGAAGGCGGCCCCCUGGACAAAGACUGACGCUCAGGUGCGAAAGCGUGGGGAGCA
rnacentral:rRNA from 1 species